rnacentral:rRNA from 1 species
AACGAACGCUGGCGGCAGGCUUAACACAUGCAAGUCGAGCGCCCCGCAAGGGGAGCGGCAGACGGGUGAGUAACGCGUGGGAACGUACCCUUUGCUACGGAAUAGCUCCGGGAAACUGGAAUUAAUACCGUAUGUGCCCUACGGGGGAAAGAUUUAUCGGCAAAGGAUCGGCCCGCGUUGGAUUAGCUAGUUGGUGGGGUAAUGGCCUACCAAGGCGACGAUCCAUAGCUGGUCUGAGAGGAUGACCAGCCACAUUGGGACUGAGACACGGCCCAAACUCCUACGGGAGGCAGCAGUGGGGAAUCUUGCGCAAUGGGCGAAAGCCUGACGCAGCCAUGCCGCGUGAAUGAUGAAGGUCUUAGGAUUGUAAAAUUCUUUCACCGGGGACGAUAAUGACGGUACCCGGAGAAGAAGCCCCGGCUAACUUCGUGCCAGCCGCCGCGGUAACAC